rnacentral:tRNA from 1 species
GCCCCAGUGGCUUAGCGGUUAGAGCAUGCGAGAAUUAUUUCCAUGAAGCUGUUAACCGCAGGGUCGCAGGUUCAAUUCCUGCCUGGGGCG